GAUGAAGAACGUAGCGAAAUGCGAUAAGUAGUGUGAAUUGCAGAAUUCAGUGAAUCAUCGAAUCUUUGAACGCACAUUGCGCCCUUUGGUAUUCCUUAGGGCAUGCCUGUUCGAGCGUCAUUUAAACCUUCAAGCUCAGCUUGGUGUUGGGUGACUGUCCGCCGCCUCCGGGCGCGUGGACUCGCCUCAAAAUUAUUGGCGGCCGGUACAUUGGCUUCGAGCGCAGCAGAAACGCGAACUCGGGCCCGUCGUAUUGGCUCCCAGAAGCUAUCUUCACAAUUUUGACCUCGGAUCAGGUAGGGAUACCCGCUGAACUUAAGCAUAUCAAUAAGCGGAGGA
rnacentral:misc_RNA from 1 species